CAGUCGCCGCGGGAAUACGAAGGGUGCAAGCGUUAAUCGGAUUUACUGGGCGUAAAGCGUGCGUAGGCGGCUUCUUAAGUCGGAUGUGAAAUCCCUGAGCUUAACUUAGGAAUUGCAUUCGAUACUGGGAAGCUAGAGUAUGGGAGAGGAUGGUAGAAUUCCAGGUGUAGCGGUGAAAUGCGUAGAGAUCUGGAGGAAUACCGAUGGCGAAGGCAGCCAUCUGGCCUAAUACUGACGCUGAGGUACGAAAGCAUGGGGAGCAAACAGGAUUAGAUACCCCUGUAGUCCCUGUCUCUUAUAC
rnacentral:rRNA from 1 species